UUGAUGAUUUGGUUGUGUAGAUUAUUUUUAAAUCCUAAGGCUGUUAACCUUGAGAAGAGUUUUUGGGAAGCUCUGCAGCCG
rnacentral:tRNA from 1 species